GUGCUCUCUUGGGCAGCACACAUACUAAAACUGGAAUGAUAUCGAUAAGUUGACACAAGAUUGCACAAGGAUGGCAUACAAAUUUGUGAAAUAUUCCAUAUUUUU
ensembl:snRNA U6 U6 spliceosomal RNA